AAACUUUUACAGGACAAUCAUUUGAGAUAAAAUCCCAUUUUAUGAAUGGAGAUAUGAUGUUCACAUGGUCACAUGCGUCUAAAUAUCAUGACGUAAGCGUGACGUGUGACGGACGUCACUUGGGAUUCACGAGAGUUUAUGAUAAUAAAUUCGUCCUUAAAGAUAUCCUUAACUACAAUAUUGUCAAGGUUCUUGUUCGUGCCACGAUUCGCUAUACAUACGUCGAAAGUAGGAUGACUUUUCAUCAAUCAGUGUUAGAAGUGACAGAAGGAAGCAACGUGACUUUGUACAUACCAAUCCCAACCAAAGCUAAAACGUUGUUUCAGCUGACAGAUUCUGGUGCUAGCAUACUUCGUUACGCUGUGUCUGCAGAAGAUUUAGCAACCUCAUCCAGGUUGUUUACAUUUGUCUUAUCAAAUGUUGCAGCGACUGAUGCGGGCUACUACGCAUUAGGAUACGAUGUUCAAUCUUUUAGAACAAACCAUGGAGUCGUGCUUGUAGUCAAUGCUUUGCCAGAAAAUCCAAAAAUCACAGGAAUACGAAAUGUACCUAUUGGUCAAUCAACAAUACUCAAAUGUCAUAGCAUAUCGCGGUCGAGGCCACUUUACUUUAAAACAUUUCCCGCCAUCGUUUAUACGUGGGUGGUGAACAAUACAGUCGCCCAGUCUGAUAGCCAGACACUGACCAUGAACGUAACUUCCUAUACGUAUGUCCAAUGCCAGGCUAGAGAGCAGUUGACAUCAAUAAGUGACUUUGCUUACAUGCAACCUCUAUAUGGUCCGGAAGCUGUGACGAUGACUCCCGAUUUCAACACAAGUGUAAAGUUGCAUAAUGGUGCAAGCUUUGGACCUGUAUCCUGCAUGGCAGACUGCAAUCCGCCUUGUACAUUCCAAUGGAGAAAAGUGGAUUUGGACGGGACAAUCGACGAAGUUAUAACAACAGCAAAUUUACCAAGACAGACUGUUAAUAGCACGGAACCUCUGAAAUACCAGUGUGUGGCAAUUGGUGAUUACAAAAACAAUCGUGGUUCAAAUACAGUCUCAACGGAAAUUAACAUAGAUGUGCAAUAUCUUGCUAAACCGACCAUUCUCGGAAUCAUAAGCGGGAACAUAAUCACAGAAAAUAUCAUACAAGCCGAGGAGGGAGCGACUGCUGUAAUUCAAUGUUCGUGUGCAGGCAAUCCCAAGCCCAAGGUUUAUAUAACCGGUAAUGAUGAGAAAGGAGACAAUUCAUGGUUACCAGGGACAAAAACUGAAUCUAUGUAUAGUUAUCAUAAACUGAAGUGUGAACACACGAAAGAGUAUACUUGUGAUGCUUAUAAUGACCAACUCAAUCAUACCUCAAGUUCAAUUCGUCUGUUGGUAGAAUGCUCUCCAAGGUUAGACGUUAAUACAACGUUCUCUCUGCAUUAUCAAGAAAACAUCGAUGGGUAUGUUGUUUUAAAAGUUCCGUUGAUGUCGUACCCAACGCCAAAAGACGCCAUUUGGUUUGGACCCAGGAGGGAACAAUUUCAACUCGACACUGCCUCAACCAUUAGCCAAGGGGACAAACCAUACCAGUUUUGGAUUCACUCUGAGAUUCAUAUCAUUAAUAAAUCCUCCUUUGGAUAUUAUAAACUCUUUGUCGAAGGGGAAGAAAUUCUAACUAUUAUAAUAGAAAACAAAGAGUCUACAAGUUCCGGUUUAAUGGCCUACUUAUCGACUUUGCCGUUGUUGACACUUGUUACCUUUGCUCUUGGAGGAACCAUAUUAUUGUUCUGCUUCAUAUCCACUCUCUGCUACAUCGGAAGGAAAUACAAAAGGAGACAAGGACAUCACAAUCGGAAGACGCCUGUUAUUUCAUCGGAACAGGAGACAGUACCAAUGCAAAACGGGGCACAAUCCUUUCAGAGAUACACACUGAUCCCCGGUCGUGGAGUUAUUGAGGGCGACUACGAAACCAUUGACACUCCUGACGAUAGCGCGUAUCUUUCCGUGUUUUAUAAAGGAAAUGAAAUAAAGCACUCGCAAGACGGAUCCUCUUUUAGUGAGAAUACAUCAGAAGCAGAGACAUGCACAUACGAGCUUGAGGGUCGCAUCUAUUACUGCGCCACAGAGACAUCCAACAGUUGUAAAGAAAAGUGUGAAUAUGAAAAACUUCCAACCACCUAG
rnacentral:sRNA from 1 species